GUAGGUGAACCUGCGGAAGGAUCAUUAACAAAAGACCUGGCUCUUUAGGGGGCCGGGCAACCGUGGGUGCGCGCGGACACGGCGGCUACUUGUUGUGGCUGCUGUUCCCCCGUGCGCCUCACACCCAACACACACACCUGUCUUGUUGAAUUUGUAGUCUGGCGGGUUUUGGAGCGUAUGCGUGUGUGUGUAGUGAUAUGCACACACGCGCGCACCGACUCUGACUGCUUCGCGCAGUCAUUGCGGCUCGCCAGCAGCACUCUUACACCAAAUACACACUCUAUUUUAUUGACUGAUACACAUUUGUUUUAAAUACAAAAAAAUACAAAACAACUGUUAGCAACGGAUCACUCGGUUCUC
rnacentral:misc_RNA from 1 species